CGGGUAGUAUCCCAGGAGGGAACUACACCUGAUCCUUUUUGACUCAAACAACUGAAGAGAGCGAUGGCCGCUUGGAGCCGUUCAGGACCGAGACGGUGGA
rfam:Candidatus Desulforudis audaxviator MP104C, complete genome.